rnacentral:rRNA from 1 species
UACAGAGGUGGCAAGCGUUGUUCGGAAUUACUGGGCGUAAAGGGCGCGUAGGCGGUCUUGCAAGUCCUGUGUGAAAUCCCUCGGCUCAACUGAGGAAUCGCACGGGAAACUGCUUGGCUUGAGAUCGGGAGAGGGAAGCGGAAUUCCGGGUGUAGCGGUGAAAUGCGUAGAUAUCCGGAGGAACACCGGUGGCGAAGGCGGCUUCCUGGACCGACACUGACGCUGAGGCGCGAAAGCUAGGGGAGCAAACGGG